UUGACCUACUUUUUAGUAAUUUGGCCUACUGGUUAAAUUUAAAAUAACAUUAUUGUUAACAAAGAGGGCUGUGAUUUGUGCUAUAUGAAAAUACUUCCUUCUUAUUGGUCAACCCACAAAUGUCAUGAUGACUUCCGGAAAUUGGCGUCACUCAUGUUGAUUUUGAAUGCCGUAGAUCCGCAUCUCUUCUUCGCCGGUACUUAAAAUGUGAUUUUUCUAAUAAAAAGUGAGUUUUGUGUACACUACUUCUUCGUAAAUUAUUGCUUGUGCGUCACUCAGCGUCUCCAAAAAGAGCAACUCGAUAACAGUUAAUGAAAUUUACUUAAGUAAAUUUUGCCAGUGGUGUCCUGACCUAAGGUCCCGACUAAUUGGAUCAAAGAGUGACGCUCCAGAGCGCGACGCUACCUUCUUCCGUGGAGGAAACCUGCAUCGUCUCCUGUUUUGCCUUACGAUGACCUAUGUAGCAUGCGUAGGUACCCAAGGGAGUCACAAGCCUCUUGUUUACAAGCUAGCAGGUGUUCUAAUGGUAGAGGCACGGUAGAGGCUUCAGCCGGAUACGACCUGACCAAACUACGAAACUUUUUCGUGCACGUAUUGCGGGGCACCUCGAGGGCGUAGGGGACAAGAUACAGACACAUUUGAAGAUGAGGUGAGGCCUGUAGGAGGUCCCGGUGGAGGUCGCUCGAUAGGAAAGGGGAUGAUCUCAGACGAGACUGUUUAAUUGGGAUCCAGAGUAAAUGGUGAGGCAUAAUCAAGAGGGCUACCACACCUCGGACGCGACUUGAAGAAUAUUUUUUUAGAAAUUCUGGAUAGAGAGAGGCUAUAUAACAUACCCCAGCUCAACCUAAAUCAACUAAAGGUAAUUCGAGUUUGUGGCACGUUUAAAUCAAAGAAGAUUCCAAAUGAAAUAUUGCAAGGCGCAAGUGAUUGGUCCUAAAGCUUCUUUGAAUUCUCCCAGGCACCGUCGAAUAUCUGGUGCCGUAUUAAGUACCAACUCUAGAGGAUCGUCCGGUGUCCAGGGAGUUGGCGCCAUGCCCAAGUGGCGGCCUUUUUGUUGUUUAAUUACAAUGGGACUCAAGAAAUAUCGGUGAAAGGAUAUGGAUAUGGUGAUAAAGCAGCUGAGCCCUUAAAGAAAUUAAAAUUAUGAUUCGCGUCCCGCCGUGGUUUCAAAGCGGUAUUUAGGUACUUUCACAGCAUUGUAAGACCAUAUUUUUAUUUUGUUUUUUAAUAGGUACUCAUAAUUCUUCAUAUUUUAUUGAAUGAUUCAGAACCAAUUUACAAAAAAAAAUCAAUUUACAAGCCUUUGCAUUAUCAUUAUUUUAAUACUAAAGAUAAUAUGAAAACUUAAUAAUUAAAACUAACUAUAGUAUCUGACGAAAUUAUAUAGUAACUCAGUUAAAAUGCUUUACAAAAUUAUUUCAUGGACCUAAAAUGUAUUUUACCUACUUUUUUAUUUUCCUAAAUGUUUGUUAUAAUUUCCUUUUUUUAACUUAAUAAAUUAUCUUGAAUGUUAUAAAAAGUAGGUAAAGUAAUUUUUUGGGCAAUUUAUAGUAAUAUAGAUAUUUUAUGACUAAAAAAUAUUGGUCUCUACAGUGUUCCAUGCGUGAUGUACCCCAAUCAUAGAUUUUUUUGCUUAUUUAUAUGGCGUUAAUUACUAUUAAAUAUAUUUAACCCUACGACUUUUAACUAAAUUUUAUUUUGUUAAAUUUAAAAAUUUAAUUAAUGUUGCUACUGUCGUAUGAAUAACAACUCAAUUUAACCGAUUUUUUGCCACAAGAAACAAUGUUAAUUUUUGAACAUAACUCUUUGAUUGGUACUGCUUUGGAACCAAGAUUGUUGGGGAUAGCAGCUGGACUAGGGCCAUCUUCAUCAGGUAGGUAAAUAUAGGGCGCUUGUAGUUGUCUUCUUUUAUAUUAUUGUAAAGACGCCUAUAAUUUUCAAAAAAUAUAAUAUACUUGUAAAUAAAACGAUAGAGCAGGAAAAUGGUAGGAAUAGAAGAGGACUUGGAAGAUGGGAAGAACGGAAGGAAUAGAGUUGAAUGAAAAUGUGUUUAAAACAGUGGAGGGAGAUAAUAAGUUGAAUUGCUGGUGAAUAUUGUCAAGUCUGACGGGGAGGGGAGGUGAAGAAUUUUUGAGAGGACAUGCAGACAUUUUACGAGGGGCCAAUGCAGGGCUCAUUAUGAGAAAGCACUUAUCUUCAGCUGAAUAUUCCUCCUAUAAAUGGAAUAUAUUGUGUUCUAAACACUCUUGGAUGGCCCCUCUGCUUUAGAUUAUGCUGUCUUACGUCUUAGUAAAAUAUACUAGAUUGUCCAACCUAUGAAGUAAUCCAGAAACUGGAAUUUGCUGGUAAGAAAUAAGUAUUUAUUUUGCUGCUUUUGGCUGUUGCUUCCCUCCUGCUUCUCCUCAUCUUCAACCGGAUUCAGCAAAAAUUCCUCCUGCUACUCCACCAUAUACCAAAAGGUUGCUUCUGUAUUGUUUGCAUAGGCGUCUAUUUUUAUUCUGGUACUGUUUAAAACUUUGAUAAUCUGGACAAACUUUAAAUUUUAAAAAUGUCAUUGUACUGCAGUAAAAAUUAUAUAGUAGCUGAUAAUUUCUCCAUCAUUUCUAAAAUCAUGUUUUGAAUUUCAUUUAAAAUAUUGGUAAUGUAAACAAUUGAUCAGUUUAAUUACUGUUGUUAAUAAUUAUUUGCCAAUCAUAUUUUUAGUUAUACUACAUAUUAUUAUUAUUACUCUUUAGUUCACUUACAUAUUUUGACACAAGUAACAAUUCUAAUAUACUUUGACUAUGCUGUCAUAAUUAUUUAUAUAUCUGUAUUUUAUUUACUAACUUUUGUAGUGUAUUAUAUGGGAACACGACUUAAUUUUUUUUAAUUUCUUAUUGGUUCUAAUUAACAGCCCCUAGAAUUUCCAGAUUAUCACAGUUCUUUAUAUUUUACUUCCGCAAAAGCGUCACCAUAUUGUGGCAAUAUGAAAACAUUAUUUUUUUAAGGGCAUCAAAACUUUGUUUUUAAUGUUCUUGCAGUUUACAUACAGUUCGUUGCUUUCAACUGUUUAUAUGGUAAAUCUGAGUGUAACAUUUUUCUAAUAUUAAUUUAUAUAAAUUUUUCAUACAUAGAAAGUAUCAUAUAAUAUACAUAUAAACUGUACUGUAGCAUAACAGUUUAUUACCAUUAUUAGGUUUUUAAAAUUCUUUCAUAAAUUGGUUAGACAUAUUGCAUGUAGCAGAUUUUUUUAUUCUUUGUCUUCCUUGGGACUUGGGAUAAAAUUCAUAAUUAAAUUUCAAAAAAGGUUAAUUUUAUUUUGUAAUGAAGAGUGUUUUUUCAUUACAAAAUAAAAUUAACCUUUUUUAACCAAACAUUAUUUUCAUUUUUUAUUACAACAACUAAAUUAAAGUUUACUCAGAUGUGUUUAGUCAGUUUCAAAGUAAUGUUCUGUUUAGUAAAUUUUAUUUUGUGGGAUUUGCAUUCAUAGAGCUACUUUUAAAAAUUAAAAUAAGCACUCUAGAGGUUUUUAAUUGUUAACAUAAGCAGGUUCGUUUUUAAACUUAAUAAUUAAUUAAUGAAGGUGAAUUAAAUUUUUAAGUAUAUAUUUCUAGUAAUAGAUUUUAAAUAGUAUUAUUAAUAAAUACUAUUCAAAAUUUAUUAUUACGUAUUUUUUAGAAAGGUAUAUUUAAUAAUUUAAGUUACAUUAGUUAAUUAUUAUGUUAAUAAAAUAUAGAGUUUAUUAGUUAUAACAUCGAUGGGAUUUGUUUCUCCUUCGGUUUUUCUAGUGGGUAUGCAACCAAACAUACAUCAAUGGUAUAAUUAUGUAUGUCGAUUUAUUCAGUUUAUUUUUAAGAUUAUUUUUUGUUAAAAAUGAGUAAAUUCAAUUUGAGUACAUAUUUCAGUUAAGUAUCCAUGCUAAUAUACUUUAUAACUACAAAAACACACUAUUUUUAUUCUUGUAUUAUUGCAACUUUAAAUUUUCAAAUUUCAUGUCUGUAAUAAUUUUUUAGCAAUUAAUUUUGUUAGCUCAGUACAGUUAUACAGUUUACAGCUGAUAAUAAUACAAAAAUAGAAUUAAUUUUUUAAUAUAUGUACAUAAAUGACACACUUUAGCCGAAUAUAUUUUAUUUCUGUAAAACUAUAUUACGAGCAAUAUGAAUACAUUUAAAUUUGUCUCAGUACGCAUUUUUAAUGUCUUUUUAGUAUACAGUGCAUUGCUUUUAAAGAUACAUACAUAUUUCUUGAUAAACCUCUUAUCUAAGUUUUUUUUUUAAUUAUUAAUUAUUAGCCUUCUUUAUUGAUCUCAUUUUUUAAAGCCAAACAGUAUAAAGAAUAAGGUGGUAUUUGUUGAUGAUUGGUAAUAUUUUAGAUUUUUAAAUUUUUAUCAUAAAUUUUAAGAUAUUUGAGUCUGUUUUUUAUGUUUUUAUACUUUGCCCCCUUUUGUAUUCUAAAAAUUUUAGUUGCUAAUUUUAGAAUUUUUAAUAUUUUAUUGUUACAUUAAAUUAAAUAUAAUAAUAUGAACAAAAAUAUAUUGAGUAAAAUUUUUAGCGUUAGUGUCAAAGCAAUAAUUGUUAUACCUAUAAAAUUUUGAUGUACUUGUAUUCAUAGAGCUCGGAAUUCAUAGAAAAAUAGUAUUUUGAAACAAAUUAUAUAAUUAUGUAUAAUAUGAAACCGACAAAAUGUUAAAUAGGAGCGAUCUGAAAUCUGUUUCACUAGUGCCCUCUAUUUACGCGAGGCAAGAUAAAAAAUUUAAUCUACUAACAAUUUAAUUUAAAAAGCAUAAUGAAAUUAUAACCCAGUUUUAGGUAUACAUAUAUUAUAUUAAUAACGCAUUUUACAAUAUUUACGUUCUUCGCAUUUGUUUUUUUUUACUUCAUGCAAUUUAAUUUACUUCUGUUUCUUACGAUAAAAAUAUUAAAUUCUGAGUAUACAAUCUUAUACAAUUGAGUCCAUCAGCACAUUUUAAUUUUUAAUAUAUUUUUUAAAUAUGGAUCCAAUAAGCAAAUAGGGAAAUAUACGUUGAUCGUUGAUGAGAGAUCGCUACUAUUCUAUAUAUUUUUAUUAUUUAUGUUUUACUUACUGUGUAAGUAAAACAGUCUUAUUGUUUUUGUGUCAUGUUUAUAUUAGGAUAUAUUUGAUAUUAAUAAAAUGUCAAUAUUUUGGUUUCUUUGAAAAAUCUCAUACAUUGCAAUUAGGCAGGGAGUGUUCUAGUUGAAAUCAUUGGUGUGGUGAUAGGUGAUAGUGCUCCAAAGCUCACCCUGUAAACUGAUUAGUUUAUUUGGUACUUACACAAUUUUAAAUAAAAAAUCCGCCAAUUUUUGUUGCUAUUUUUUUACUUUUUUAAUUUUAUACA
rnacentral:lncRNA from 1 species